UACGUAGGGUGCGAGCGUUCAUCGGAAUUACUGGGCGUAAAGCGUGCGCAGGCGGUUCGUUGUGUCGGCGGUGAAAUCCCCGGGCUCAACCUGGGAAUGGCCGUUGAAACUGGCGAACUGGAGUGCGGCAGAGGGGGGUGGAAUUCCGCGUGUAGCAGUGAAAUGCGUAGAUAUCUGGAGGAACACCGGUGGCGAAGGCGGCAUCCUGGACCAACACUGACGCUGAGGAGCGAAAGCCAGGGGAGCAAACGGG
rnacentral:rRNA from 1 species